AAAAGCAAAUGCCCUCUGGUUCCCAGCCUGUCUCCACCCACCCCGCACUGAAGUCCUAGGAGAGGGCCAGUAAGUCUAUCUUAUGUCCUGGCCUGGACUCCAUUUCCCAGAGUCACCCGGUGCUCUAACGUUUCCUGCUCUGAACGCCUGUGCGUGUGCAUGUGGGAGAACGUGCGCAUGCGCGUGCCUUUCCCUGUGGUUCCGGGUUGGGAACAGAAGUUCAUUUACUGAUCAGAGAGGACCCUGAGAGGCCGCGCUGCUCCUUCUCCCACAUUCACUGGGGAGUCUUGCUCUGCAAGUGCAAUUGCAGGCAUUUGGGGAGCACACACCCCAGUCCUGCCGCCAACUGCUUCUGUGCCUCUGCAUCUGGCACCGUGGGCCCCAAGUUCCAGCGACUUCUCCUGUCCCACACUCUCCGCUUUGCUCCCCGUGUGUCCUGAAGAAAGGGGACGUGCUCCCGAGAUUUUCCACGGCAAGUGAUGAUAGCAUUUGAAGACCUGGCUGUGUACUUUACCUGGGAGGAAUGGCAGAACAUGAACAAUGCUCAGAAAAUCCUGUACAGAGAUGUGAUGCUGGAGACCUACAGCAGCCUGUUCUCGUUGGGGCACUGCAUUACCAAACCUGACUUAAUCUUCAAGUUGGAGCAAGGAGAAGAGCCAUGGAUGGUGGAAGAAUGCCUGAAUCAGAGUCUUUCAGGCAGAGUGGACAGUGAGAGAGACAUAGAGAAAGGUCUUCCUUUUGCUGUUGGUUCACCCUCCAAUGGCUACCAUGGGCAGUAUGCUGUGGCUGGCACACCGUGCUGAUCUGAAGCCAGGAGCCAGGUGCUUCUCCUGGUCUCACAGGUGGGCACAGGGCCCAAGGACCUGGGCCAUCCUACACUGCAGUCCUGGCCCAGAGCAGAGAGCUGGCCUGGAAGAGGGGCAACCAGGACAAAAUCCAGCAACACAACCAGGACUAGAACCUGGUGUGCCAGUGCCGCAGGCAGAGGAUUAGCCUAUUGAGCCACCGCACCAGCCUGUUUCUUUUUUUUUUAAAGAUUUAUUUAUUUGAAAGUCAGAGAGAGAGAAGAAGGAGAGGCAGAGAGAGAAAGAGAGGUCUUCCAUCCACUGGUUCACUUCCCAAUUGGCUGUCAUGGCUGGAGCUAUACUGAUCUGAAGCUAGGAGCCAGGAGCUUCUUCCAGGUCUCCCACAUGGGUACAGGGGUCCAAGGACUUGGGCCAUCUUCUACUGCUUUGCCAGGCCAUAGCAGAGUGCUGGAUCAGAAGUGGAUCAGCUAGGACUUAAAUUGGUGCCCAUAAGUGGUGUUGGCACUGCAGAUGGUGGCUUUACCUGCUAUGCCACAAUGCCAGGCCCCAGAAUCUUAUUUCUAACUCAUUGCUCAGAUUGAGUUCCCACUCAUGAUUUUUCCCAGGCAUAGAACUUGCCCAGGACUGAAUCAAUAAAUGUGAACUCUCUCUUUCUUAGUCUCUUUCUUUUUUUUCCUCUGUGACUCUCAAAUAAAUAAGAAAAUUAUAGUCUGUUGGAAACAUUUGAGGAGUGAGCCUACAGUUGGCAAACCUCUGUUUCAGUCUGUCUUUAUCUCUCAUUCUGUCUCUCUGAUUCUCAAGUAAGUAAAUAAGUAAAUGCUAAAAGAUGGUCAUGUGGCUUGCUGUGGCACAGUGAAUUAACACCCUAGCCUGAAGCAGCAGCAUCCCAUAUGGCCACCAGUUUGGGACCCAGUUGUUCCACUUCUGAUCCAGCUCUCAGCUAUGGUCUGGGAAAGCAGUAGAAGAUGUUCCAAGUCCUUGGACCCCUGCACCCAAGGGAGACCCAGAAGAAGCUCCUGGCUCCUGGCUUCAGAUCAGCACAGUUCUGGCCGUUGUGGCCAAUUGGGGAGUGAACCAUUGGAUCAAGACCUGACUCUCUCUUUGCCUCUCCUCUCUCUGUGUAACUCUGACUUUCAAAUAAAUAAAUAAAUAAGUCUUUAAAAAUAAAAGAUGGUCAUGAGUAAGCCUCUGUGCUGUGGCAUCAGAAAUUAUGAAGCUAGGAAUGACAUUGUGGUGCAGUGUGUUAAAGCUCCAGCCUGCAACACUAGCAUUGCAUAUUGGUGCCAGUUCAAGUCCCAGCUAGCCCUCUUCUAAUCCAGCUCUCUGCUAAUGCACCUGAGAAAAGAGCAGAGGUUGGCCCAAGUCUUUGGCCCCUGUCCCAUGUUGGAGACAAGAAAGACACUCCUGGCUCCUAACUUCAUUUUGGCCCAGCAUUGGUUGUUGUGCCCAUGUGGGGAGUGAACCAGCAGAUGGAAGACUUCUCUCUGUCUCUAUCUCUCUCUAUAAUUCUAGCUUUCAAAUAAAUAAAGUAAAUCUUUGAAAAAAAAGAAAUCAUAAACUAAGCAUGAACUUAUAUAAAACAUGAAAAUAUGUGAUCCUAGACUCACCAAAAAACUAAUGAGAUUUUGAGACCCAAGGUCAAGUAGCCUCGUGGGUUUAUGUUAAGUAGCUCAGAUUUCUUUAAGGGUGGAGUUUGAAGAGUGAUUUCUCUCUUAUUUUUCAGUAUCAUUGAAAAAUAAGCAAAUAAAAAGAUAAGAAAAGCAUAGAAAAUGAAGCUUUCAGUGAAAAUAGGAGGCAACUGAUCAAAAGCCUCCAGAAAUUCAAAUCAUCACAGGAAUUUUUCUAGAAAGAAUUGAGAGGAGGUAACCAGCACUGAUGAUUUCAGAAUGAGCUAGAAAACACUUUUCAAAGAAGAUAAGCACAUCCCGGUUUGCAGAAAUAAAUUCUUCAAACUGAUUGGGAGUGUUUAACUAAAGUGGUAUACUGGGAAUUUUCUGUACCUGUUGUACUUUUGAGAAGCUGAAGGUGUUGGGUGUCCUUAGGAAUUUUGGGAAGCUGUCAUAGAGUAGAGACAAAGUAGUUUUUCAUUCGAAAAAUCCCACAAAUGAUGUUUACCUAGGAAGACUGAGCACGAGACAGUCAUAGAUUCAAAUCAUACUCCUUAAAUGUUGUCCUGCUUAAAGUACAGGCACAUUUCACUCUUCUCCACCUGCAAGUAAAUGAUCAGUAAAACUUUCUCAUGUUUAUGGUUGAGAUAUCAGAGAAGCAAAAAGCACACAAUUUUUAUAAAAAUAAACUGGAGAAAAAGGACAGGGAAAAAAAUUGUUGCUAGGUAGUGGGUGAAUAUUUUUAUUAAACAUUUGUCCAUUCUUUAAAAUAUUUUAUAGUUAUUUCAUCUUUGUGAAAGGCAGAGUGAUAGUGAGAGAAGAGAGAGAGAAAGAGGUCCUCUAUUAGCUCACUUCCCAGAUGCCUGCAACACUUAGGUCUAACUAGUCUGAAGCCAAAACUCUAGAAUCCCUCUAGUUUUCCCUGGUUUCUCACAGGUUCCCAGGCACAUGAACCAUUAUCUGCUUCCUUCCAGUUUACAUAGGCAGAGAGCUGUACUGAAAGCAGAGUAGCCAGGGCUCAAACUGACACUGUUUUGAGAUGCAGGCAUCCCACACUUCAUAGCACAAAUGUCAUUCUACCAUCCUUGACAAAUUCCCAUAGUAAAAAGGAUCAUGUUUGAACAUUGGGAAACCUCAUGGUAUAUUAAUGUAUUAAGGAGAAAAACCAUAUAAUGGUUACAAAUAAGUACUUCAUACUGAUUUUGUCAAAAUCUUAUGCCACUUGGAUUACAAGUAACUUCAUUCCCUUUACAUGAGCAUGCCAGGAGAAACAGUUACAUGUGAUUCAGUGACAUGAUUGCUUUUUUCUCA